rnacentral:rRNA from 1 species
GAUGAACGCUGGCGGCGUGCCUAAUACAUGCAAGUCGAGCGAACAGACGAGGAGCGUUCGCCUCUGACGUUAGCGGCGGACGGGUGAGUAACACGUGGAUAACCUACCUAUAAGACUGGGAUAACUACGGGAAACCGGAUCUAAUACCAGAUAAUAUAUUGAACCGCAGGGUUCAGUAGUGAAAGACAGCUUUGCUGUCUCUAUUAGAUGGUUCCGCGCCGGAUUAGCUAGUUGGUAAGGUAACGGCUUACCAAGGCGACGAUGCGUAGCCGACCUGAGAGGGUGAUCGGCCACACUGGAACUGAGACACGGUCCAGACUCCUACGGGAGGCAGCAGUAGGGAAUCUUGCGCAAUGGGCGAAAGCCUGACGGAGCAACGCCGCGUGAGUGAUGAAGGUCUUCGGAUCGUAAAACUCUGUUAUUAGGGAAGAACAGCUGUGUAUGUAUCCCUGGCUGUUUUGACGGUACCUAAUGAGAAAGCCCCGGCUAACUACGUG